rnacentral:rRNA from 1 species
UACGGGGGGGGCAAGCGGUUGUUCGGAAUUACUGGGCGUAAAGGGCUCGUAGGUGGCCAACUAAGUCAGACGUGAAAUCCCUCGGCUUAACCGGGGAACUGCGUCUGAUACUGGAUGGCUUGAGUGCAGGAGAGGAACGCGGAAUUCCAGGUGUAGCGGUGAAAUGCGUAGAUAUCUGGAGGAACACCGGUGGCGAAGGCGGCGUUCUGGACUGCUACUGACACUGAGGAACGAAAGCCAGGGGAGCAAACGGG